UACGAAGGGGGCUAGCGUUGUUCGGAAUUACUGGGCGUAAAGCGCGCGCAGGCGGUCUUCCAAGUCAGUGGUGAAAGCCCGGAGCUCAACUCCGGGACUGCCAUUGAAACUGUUAGACUUGAGGACGAGAGAGGUGAGUGGAAUUCCCAGUGUAGAGGUGAAAUUCGUAGAUAUUCGGAAGAACACCAGUGGCGAAGGGCGACUCACUGGACACGUAUUGACGCUGAGGUGCGAAAGCGUGGGGAGCAAACA
rnacentral:rRNA from 1 species